rnacentral:rRNA from 1 species
UCCUACGGGGGCAGCAGUGGGGAAUAUUGGGCAAUGGACGCAAGUCUGACCCAGCAACGCCGCGUGAAGGAAGAAGGCUUUCGGGUUGUAAACUUCUUUUAAGGGGGAAGAGCAGAAGACGGUACCCCCUGAAUAAGCCACGGCUAACUACGUGCCAGCAGCCGCGGUAAUACGUAGGUGGCAAGCGUUGUCCGGAUUUACUGGGUGUAAAGGGCGUGCAGCCGGAGAGACAAGUCAGAUGUGAAAUCCACGGGCUCAACCUGUGGCCUGCAUUUGAAACUGUGUUUCUUGAGUACUGGAGAGGC